rnacentral:rRNA from 1 species
UACGGGGGGAGCAAGCGUUGUCCGGAUUUAUUGGGCGUAAAGAGCUCGUAGGCGGCUUGUUGCGUCGACCGUGAAAACCCGUGGCUUAACUGCGGGCUUGCGGUCGAUACGGGCGGGCUGGAGUUCGGUAGGGGAGACUGGAAUUCCUGGUGUGAGCGGUGAAAUGCGCAGAUAUCAGGAGGAACACCGGUGGCGAAGGCGGGUCUCUGGGCCGAUACUGACGCUGAGGAGCGAAAGCGUGGGGAGCGAACAGG